UACGUAGGGUGCAAGCGUUGUCCGGAAUUAUUGGGCGUAAAGAGCGUGUAGGCGGCCCGAUUAGUCCGCUGUGAAAGCCCAGGGCUCAACCCUGGAAUGCCGGUGGAUACUGCCGGGCUAGAGUCCGGAAGGGGCGAGUGGAAUUCCUGGUGUAGCGGUGAAAUGCGCAGAUAUCAGGAGGAACACCAAUGGCGAAGGCAGCUCGCUGGGACGUGACUGACGCUGAGACGCGAAAGCGUGGGGAGCAAACAGG
rnacentral:rRNA from 1 species